rnacentral:rRNA from 1 species
AGCAGCCGCGGUAAUUCCAGCUCCAAUAGCGUAUAUUAAAGUUGUUGCAGUUAAAAGGCUCGUAGUUGAAUUUCGGGGUCAGUAGAUUGGUCGUGCCACUGGUAUGUACUGGUCUUACCGGCUCCUCCUUCCUGAUGAACCGUAAUGCCAUUAAUUUGGUGUUGCGGGGAGACUGGACUGUUACUUUGAAAAAAUUAGAGUGUUUAAAGCAGGCUAACGCUUGAAUACAUUAGCAUGGAAUAAUGAAAUAGGACGUUCGAUCUUAUUUUGUUGGUUUCUAGGAUUGACGUAAUGAUUAAUAGGGAUAGUUGGGGGCAUUAGUAUUCAAUUGUCAGAGGUGAAAUUCUUGGAUUUAU